CCCCUUCUCUUCUUUAGCCGAUUAACUUUCUCUCCUCCGCCCGCUGUUUCAUUCUAUUCGAUCUUCAUCUUGUCGUUGUUUUCAUCCUCUCAAGUUUUUAGAUCUGGUACCAGAGCAUUUUUGCGGAUCUCAGAUCUCGUAAUUACUCACGCUCUGGAGUAGCCUUCAUUCACUGUCGAAUCCCUGAACAUGAGGAACCUACCCGUAAAGACUACUUCCGAGAACGAACCAAAUUACUUGAUGCUGACCGCUCUGAAUACAACACACCGUCGAAGUGACUCAGGGUUUGGUGGGGCUUCAUCAUACGGAAGCUCAUGUAGUCAUACAUCAAGCAUGAAAAAGGAUAGUGAUGGCAAUGACUCUCCAAGGAAGCUAGAUUUGGAUGGUUUGACUCCUUUCGAGAAGAAUUUCUAUGUCGAAUCGCAGGCUGUGGCGGCUAUGACUGAGGCAGAAGUUGAAGAGUAUCGUAAGCUGAGGGAAAUUACUGUUGUUGAGAUAUUACCAAACCUGUCAAGAGUUUUCGUGAUGUUGGCUUUCCUGAUUAUGUUUUGGAAGAGAUUAAGAAGGCUGGUUUAACUGAACCUACUACGCCUAUACAAUCUCAGGGCUAGCCAAUGGCAAUGAAGGGACGUGAUCUUAUUAGCAUUGCUGAAACUGGCUCUGGAAAGACUCUUUCCUACUUAUUACCUUCAAUCGUCCAUGUCAAUGCCCAACCAAUUAUAGAUUAAAAUGGACACUAUUGAAGUCAGUAACCUGAAUAGGCAAUAUCUAUUUCGUCCUUCUCAUGUUGGGCGCUCCAGGGCUAAGGUAUAUUUGCUUGAGCUAAGUCCAAGGGAAUCCAGUUCAUAAGAGAAUUCAUGUGACCAUAUAGACUCACAGUUGUUAACCAAAGUUGUUUGGGUUUAUUAAAUCGAGUUUAGGAGGUAUAUGUGAGCAACCUGAGCUCAUUCUCCCUCGCUUCAAGGCAAUCUGAGCUCAUUCUCCCUCGCCUUAAGUUCCUUAAGAAAUGCUUCCAUCAGCUCAGCUUCCUUUCUCCUUGUCUCGGUCUUUGCAGUUUGCUUCAGGUCAAAAUCUUCAACAUUCAUCUCAAAAGCAAAAGACUUCUUGGGAAAGCAAAGCAACCUCCUUCUCCGUCGCUUCAAACAUUAACCCUUGAUGUUUGUGCAUUUCCAAUAUUUACUUUCUUUUUUUAGUAGUAUGAUGUAUUCUUUGUAUUCUUAUUUUUAACUAUGUUUUUAGUUUUA